rnacentral:rRNA from 1 species
GAUGAACGCUUGCGGCGUGCCUAAUACAUGCAAGUCGAGCGAACAGACGAGGAGCUUGCUCCUUUGACGUUAGCGGCGGACGGGUGAGUAACACGUGGGUAACCUACCUAUAAGACUGGGAUAACUUCGGGAAACCGGAGCUAAUACCGGAUAAUAUUUCGAACCGCAUGGUUCGAUAGUGGAAGAUGGCUUUGCUAUCACUUAUAGAUGGACCUGCGCCGUAUUAGCUAGUUGGUAAGGUAACGGCUUACCAAGGCAACGAUACGUAGCCGACCUGAGAGGGUGAUCGGCCACACUGGAACUGAGACACGGUCCAGACUCCUACGGGAGGCAGCAGUAGGGAAUCUUCCGCAAUGGGCGAAAGCCUGACGGAGCAACGCCGCGUGAGUGAUGAAGGUCUUCGGAUCGUAAAACUCUGUUAUUAGGGAAGAAUAAACGUGUAAGUAACUGUGCACGUCUUGACGGUACCUAAUCAGAAAGCCACGGCUAACUACGUGCCAGCAGCCGCGGUAAUACGUAGGUGGCAAGCGUUAUCCGGAAUUAUUGGGCGUAAAGCGCGCGUAGGCGGUUUUUUAAGUCUGAUGUGAAAGCCCACGGCUCAACCGUGGAGGGUCAUUGGAAACUGGAAAACUUGAGUGCAGAAGAGGAAAGUGGAAUUCCAUGUGUAGCGGUGAAAUGCGCAGAGAUAUGGAGGAACACCAGUGGCGAAGGCGACUUUCUGGUCUGUAACUGACGCUGAUGUGCGAAAGCGUGGGGAUCAAACAGGAUUAGAUACCCUGGUAGUCCACGCCGUAAACGAUGAGUGCUAAGUGUUAGGGGUUUCCGCCCCUUAGUGCUGCAGCUAACGCAUUAAGCACUCCGCCUGGGGAGUACGACCGCAAGGUUGAAACUCAAAGGAAUUGACGGGGACCCGCACAAGCGGUGGGGCAUGUGGUUUAAUUCGAAGCAACGCGAAGAACCUUACCAAAUCUUGACAUCCUUUGACCCUUCUAGAGAUAGAAGUUUCCCCUUCGGGGGACAAAGUGACAGGUGGUGCAUGGUUGUCGUCAGCUCGUGUCGUGAGAUGUUGGGUUAAGUCCCGCAACGAGCGCAACCCUUAAGCUUAGUUGCCAUCAUUAAGUUGGGCACUCUAAGUUGACUGCCGGUGACAAACCGGAGGAAGGUGGGGAUGACGUCAAAUCAUCAUGCCCCUUAUGAUUUGGGCUACACACGUGCUACAAUGGACAAUACAAAGGGCAGCGAAACCGCGAGGUCAAGCAAAUCCCAUAAAGUUGUUCUCAGUUCGGAUUGUAGUCUGCAACUCGACUACAUGAAGCUGGAAUUGCUAGUAAUCGUAGAUCAGCAUGCUACGGUGAAUACGUUCCCGGGUCU